GUGCCUACGGGGGGCAGCAGUGAGGAAUAUUGGUCAAUGGUCGGAAGGCUGAACCAGCCAAGCCGCGUGAAGGACGAAGGUGCCAAGCAUUGUAAACUUCUUUUGUCAAGGGACAAAAUCAGGCUCGAGAGCCUGACCGAGGGUACUUGAAGAAAAAGCAUCGGCUAACUCCGUGCCAGCAGCCGCGGUAAUACGGAGGAUGCGAGCGUUAUCCGGAUUUAUUGGGUUUAAAGGGUGCGUAGACGGUGCGCCAAGUCUGGAGUGAAAUGCCGCAGCUUAACUGCGGAACUGCUUUGGAAACUGGG
rnacentral:rRNA from 1 species